UUCAUAUUCAGUGAAAUCAGCAUCAAGAACUCUAAGAAAAUAGACCUGAUGCUUCCAGUCGUUCAGGAGAAGAAACACUUGCUAACGGAUGUGACAUGUUUUUGAACCAUUUUCCAAGUCUCAAUCUUUGCUCUCUCUACAUAUCUAUCAGCAAUAAGUCAGUUUAGUGACUGAAGCCAAAGCCACAGAAGUGGAUUCCAUGCCAAGGUUCCUUUUAUUCCUGGUGAUCUACUCAGUUCCCUACUGUCCCAAAGGGAAACAAAAGACUCCCAGUUUUCUGAAAACCAGAUUCUCUGCACGACAGUGCAUUGCAUUGCCACGGGACGGGCCACAGUGGAUGUUCUCCUAGCAAACAA